AUUGAACGCUGGCGGCAUGCCUUACACAUGCAAGUCGAACGGCAGCACGGGAGCAAUCCUGGUGGCGAGUGGCGAACGGGUGAGUAAUAUAUCGGAACGUGCCCAGUCGUGGGGGAUAACGUAGCGAAAGCUACGCUAAUACCGCAUACGAUCUAUGGAUGAAAGCGGGGGAUCGCAAGACCUCGCGCGAUUGGAGCGGCCGAUAUCAGAUUAGGUAGUUGGUGGGGUAAAGGCUCACCAAGCCGACGAUCGGUAGCCGGUCUGAGAGGACGACCAGCCACACUGGGACUGAGACACGGCCCAGACUCCUACGGGAGGCAGCAGUGGGGAAUUUUGGACAAUGGGCGCAAGCCUGAUCCAGCAAUGCCGCGUGCAGGAUGAAGGCCUUCGGGUUGUAAACUGCUUUUGUACGGAGCGAAAAGGCUUCCACUAAUACUGGGGGCUCAUGACGGUACCGUAAGAAUAAGCACCGGCUAACUACGUGCCAGCCGCCGCAGUAAGAC
rnacentral:rRNA from 1 species